rnacentral:misc_RNA from 1 species
UCGAGACCGAAAUAUAAAAAUCGAGCGACUCGGAGAACACAAAAUAAAAUAAGCGGGGGGGGGGGGAUUAGCCACCGCGGAAAAUCCAUCCUAAUUGCCGCCUCAUCCCCUACGGGGCUGCGGCGCCAUGAAGGACGGAUGAAAACUUCGACCCGGCGCAGCUCCGCGCCAAGUGCUCAUCGAAACACACGGGCCCUGCCUCGGGCUCAGUGUCAUGGAGUGCGUUGCACGCCAUACUAUCGACACGACUCUCGGCAAUGGAUAUCUCGGCUCUUGCAUCGAUGAAGAGCGCAGCGAAAUGCGAUACGUGGUGCGAAUUGCAGAAUCCCGCGAACCAUCGAGUCUUUGAACGCAAGUUGCGCCCGAGGCCAACCGGCUGAGGGCACGCCUGCCUGGGCGUCAAGCGUGCGUCGAUUCAAGCCCGCUCCAUCCCCCCGUGGGUGUGUAGGGCGGCGCUCGAAUGCGCAGAGUGGCUCCUCGUACAAUUUGGUGCGGCGGGCUGAAGAGCGGGGCAUCAUCUCGUUGGCCGCGAGCAACAAGGGGUGGAUACGAGAGUAGCCUAUGUUGUGUCGCAACGGGCCGCGGAGAGGUGAUGCACCUACCAAUUUUUGAUCCCGGCCCUUGCGUCGGCCUAAGGGCGGCGGAAUGGAAU